UUUUUAAGACCCAGAUACCCUCAAGAACCUACACCUACACACAAAGGGAGACUAAAAAAAAUAAGAGGGGCUGCGCAGCUUUUAACAGAACCCCCAGACUUCAUCUUCUUCGAUCCCCACCCAAACGACCCCUCAAUUCCUCCUCUCCUCACCAGCGGCGAACUCGCCGUUACACCAAAACAUAGGACCCAACUGCUUCUUCUUCAAGAGUGCGAACAGUACUCGACCUCGAACCCAAACGACCUCCUUCGUUCAAGUUUCAGUCCACACUGAGGGACCAAGGAAGUGAGCGGACGAGUUUACUCAUUCUAAUUUCAGAUUUGAAUCCUUUGAUUUACAUGUCAAAUUCUGGCUCAUUCUUCUGAUUUCUGAUUUUUUAAAAAUCGUGGAAUUAAAUCGAGUUUGAGCUAGUCGAUUUCAGUCGAAGUUCUGUUUUGUUGUUGAUCGAAUACUGUUGGUUCCGAGUGAGUUCUCCGAUUGGAGAUUUCUGCUGCCGAUCGAGUUUCGUUGUUGGUUUGCGUUACCGGCCUGAUUCUGCUGUUGUAUCAUCCGGCUUGUCUGAGUUUUUGCUAGUCAAUACAUUGAAGAAAAUCCAUUUGAAGGUCCGUUUUACUUGUUUCAUUGAGUGUUUGGAUCUGCUCCUAUUCUAGACGACUAAUUUGAUGCUUGGAUGGUUGUUAUUUCAAAUUUUCUUUACUGUGUUCUCUUAACUGAUUCAUGAGAUUGGUUUGAGUAAGAUGAGUUAAAAUUAGUAUUAACCUCUGGGAUUGCAUUCAAUUUUCGAACCAAGUUUAAAAAUCAGUAUUAACUUCUUUUAUUGCAUUUCAAUUUUCGAACCAAGUUAUGUUCCAUUGAUUGAGUUUUCCUGACAUUUUGUUCACCCUUAACUUGAUCUCUUAGCUUGAAUAGUUUUAGUUUUGACUAUAUUUCAGAUCUUAUUUUAGUUGAUCUCUCUAGCUAUUUUGUUGGUCAUAGUUCAUUAGUUAAAUUAGUACAGGUGUUGGAUAGUUUUGUUUAACGUGAAUGCAAUUUGAAGAUGAAGCAUAUGCUGUUGAUUUUUUGAAACAUGGACCGUUCUCACGUCAGUUUAUUUGGCUUCAUAUUUUGGAUUUAAUAACUCAUUCCAUAAUUUGGUUUCUGUUUCUUUUAGUUUUAGUGGUAAGGUAAGUAUAAUUAAGUACAUAUUCCCUUUUCUGUUACGUUAGAUUUAGGCGAAUUACAUGGAUAUGGUUUGUUUGGCCAGGGACAUUGUUGAUGUAGUAGUCUCAGUUCUUGUAGCAUUUGGGAGAGGAGCAAUGCUUCUGGUUCUUGUCCUCGUUUCAAUCACAUGGCC
rnacentral:lncRNA from 1 species